rnacentral:tRNA from 1 species
GGAGAGGUCGCAUAGUGGCCGAUUGCGUUCGCUUGGAAAGCGAAUAUACCGAAAGGUAUCGAGGGUUCGACUCCCUCCCUCUCCGCCA